AGAAAGUUGGUUUGGAUUUUUCCAUUGCAUCUUACAGAAAAACCUGAAUGAACUUUCUGU
ensembl:miRNA